rnacentral:rRNA from 1 species
ACAGGUGGUGCAUGGUUGUCGUCAGCUCGUGUCGUGAGAUGUUGGGUUAAGUCCCGCAACGAGCGCAACCCCUAUUGUUAGUUGCCAUCAUUCAGUUGGGCACUCUAGCGAGACUGCCGGUAAUAAACCGGAGGAAGGUGGGAUGACGUCAAAUCAUCAUGCCCCUUAUGACCUGGGCUACACACGUGCUACAAUGGUUGGUACAACGAGCUGCGAGUCGGUGACGGCGAGCUAAUCUCUUAAAGCCAAUCUCAGUUCGGAUUGUAGGCUGCAACUCGCCUACAUGAAGUCGGAAUCGCUAGUAAUCGCGGAUCAGCACGCCGCGGUGAAUACGUUCCCGGGCCUU